UACGUAGGGGGAAAGCGUUGUCCGGAAUCACUGGGCGUAAAGCGACCGCAGGCGGCCUGACAAGUCGGAUGUGAAAGCCCUGGGCUCAACUCAGGAAUUGCAUUCGAAACUGGCAGGCUCGAGUACGGGAGAGGGGGGUGGAAUUCCUGGUGUAGGGGUGAAAUUCGUUGAUAUCAGGAGGAACACCGGCGGCGAAGGCGGCCCCCUGGCCCGCAACUGACGCUCAUGGUCGAAAGCGUGGGGAGCAAACAGG
rnacentral:rRNA from 1 species